rnacentral:rRNA from 1 species
CYUUGGGUGGCGAGUGGCGGACGGGUGAGUAAUGUCUGGGGAUCUGCCCGRUAGAGGGGGAUAACCACUGGAAACGGUGGCUAAUACCGCAUAACGUCGCAAGACCAAAGAGGGGGACCUUCGGGCCUCUCACUAUCGGAUGAACCCAGAUGGGAUUAGCUAGUAGGUGGGGUAACGGCUCACCUAGGCGACGAUCCCUAGCUGGUCUGAGAGGAUGACCAGCCACACUGGAACUGAGACACGGUCCAGACUCCUACGGGAGGCAGCAGUGGGGAAUAUUGCACAAUGGGCGCAAGCCUGAUGCAGCCAUGCCGCGUGUAUGAAGAAGGCCUUCGGGUUGUAAAGUACUUUCAGCGGGGAGGAAGGGAUGAAGCUGGCGGCAGGCCGUCAUUUACGUUACCCGCAGAAGAAGCACCGGCU